CCUACGGGGGGCAGCAGUCGAGAAUUUUUCACAAUGGGGGAAACCCUGAUGGAGCGACGCCGCGUGGGGGAUGAAGGGCUUCGGCUCGUAAACCCCUGUCAUUCGCGAACUAGUAGCGGAAGAGGAAGGGACGGCUAACUCUGUGCCAGCAGCCGCGGUAAUACAGAGGUCCCAAGCGUUGUUCGGAUUUACUGGGCGUAAAGGGUGCGUAGGCGGCGGGGAAAGUUUAAGGUGAAAUCUCCAGGCUCAACUUGGAAAAUGCCUCGAAUACUUCCUUGCUUGAGGGUCGCAGAGGAGAUUGGAAUUCUCGGUGUAGCAGUGAAAUGCGUAGAUAUCGAGAGGAACAUCAGUGGCGAAAGCGAAUCUCUGGGCGACCCUGACGCUGAGGCACGAAAGCCAGGGGAGCAAACGGGAUUAGAUACCCUUGUAGUC
rnacentral:rRNA from 1 species